rnacentral:rRNA from 1 species
AUUGAACGCUGGCGGCAUGCCUUACACAUGCAAGUCGAACGGUAACAGGUCUUCGGAUGCUGACGAGUGGCGAACGGGUGAGUAAUACAUCGGAACGUGCCUAGUAGUGGGGGAUAACUACUCGAAAGAGUGGCUAAUACCGCAUGAGAUCUACGGAUGAAAGCAGGGGAUCGCAAGACCUUGUGCUACUAGAGCGGCCGAUGGCAUAUUAGGUAGUUGGUGGGAUAAAAGCUUACCAAGCCGACGAUCUGUAGCUGGUCUGAGAGGACGAUCAGCCACACUGGGACUGAGACGCGGCCCAGACUCCUACGGGAGGCAGCAGUGGGGAAUUUUGGACAAUGGGCGCAAGCCUGAUCCAGCAAUGCCGCGUGCAGGAUGAAGGCCUUCGGGUUGUAAACUGCUUUUGUACGGAACGAAAAGCCCUGGGUUAAUACCCUGGGGUCAUGACGGUACCGUAAGAAUAAGCACCGGCUAACUACGUUCCAGCAGCCGCUGUAAUAC